CUAGUACUUCCUCCGUUCGGAAUUACUUGUUUCAGAAAUAAAUGUAUCUAGAACUAGAAUAUGUCUAGAUACAUCUGUUUCCGCGUCAAGUAAUUUCGAACGGAGGGAGUAUAUA
rfam:Triticum aestivum genome assembly, contig: Triticum_aestivum_CS42_TGACv1_scaffold_485310_6AS